rnacentral:lncRNA from 1 species
AAUUGGUCCGAACAAGUCCAUAUGGAUCAAUUGCAAAGGUCUAGAGGUGCUUAUUUGGUUCUUAGGUUUGAAGCUACAUUUUAUUUAUUUUCCUAAUUGACAAGCAUCACACACAUUAUCUUUGACGAACGUGAUAUGAGGAAAUUCUCUUACAAGUUCUUUAGAUGAAAUUUGGGUGAUUAGUUUCAUGCUAGCAUCGUCA